rnacentral:rRNA from 1 species
AUUGAACGCUGGCGGCAUGCUUUACACAUGCAAGUCGAACGGUAACAGGCCUUCGGGUGCUGACGAGUGGCGAACGGGUGAGUAAUGCAUCGGAACGUGCCCAGAGGUGGGGGAUAACGCAGCGAAAGCUGUGCUAAUACCGCAUGUGAUCUGAGGAUGAAAGCGGGGGACCAGGCAGCAAUGUUUGGCCUCGCGCCUUUGGAGCGGCCGAUGUCAGAUUAGGUAGUUGGUGGGGUAAAGGCCUACCAAGCCGACGAUCUGUAGCCGGUCUGAGAGGACGACCAGCCACACUGGGACUGAGACACGGCCCAGACUCCUACGGGAGGCAGCAGUGGGGAAUUUUGGACAAUGGGCGCAAGCCUGAUCCAGCAAUGCCGCGUGCGGGAAGAAGGCCUUCGGGUUGUAAACCGCUUUUGUACGGAACGAAAAGGCUCUGGCUAAUACCUGGGGCUGAUGACGGUACCGUAAGAAUAAGCACCGGCUAACUACGUG